rnacentral:rRNA from 1 species
CCUACGGGUGGCAGCAGUCGAGAAUUUUUCACAAUGGGCGAAAGCCUGAUGGAGCGACGCCGCGUGGGGGAUGAAGGGCUUCGGCUCGUAAACCCCUGUCAUUCGAGAACAAACCCUGCGUUUGAAUAGAUCGCAGGCUGAUAGUAUCGGAAGAGGAAGGGACGGCUAACUCUGUGCCAGCAGCCGCGGUAAUACAGAGGUCCCAAGCGUUGUUCGGAUUUACUGGGCGUAAAGGGUGCGUAGGCGGUGGGGAAAGUUCGGGGUGAAAUCUCCAGGCUCAACUUGGAAAUUGCCUUGAAUACUUCCCUGCUCGAGGGUCGCAGAGGAGACUGGAAUUCUCGGUGUAGCAGUGAAAUGCGUAGAUAUCGAGAGGAACACCAGUGGCGAAAGCGGGUCUCUGGGCGACACCUGACGCUGAGGCACGAAAGCCAGGGGAGCAAACGGGAUUAGAUACCCUUGUAGUC